AAAACCCUUUAUUCGAACGAAACAGUGAAGAAGAUAGAGAAGAAGAUAGGAGGAAGAAGAAAAAAAGAAAGAAAAACAUUUGGCCAUUCGAUUUCGAUUUUGACUUUGGUGUAUGUUGGAGGUGAUUUGGGUGAGAUUGCAAAAGCUAGGGAGUGUCGAUAAGAGAUAAGCAGUAUGCAUGGCACAUCCGAGACAGACGUCUCGGGAUAUAGAAAGACGGGUUGUUUGGGUGAACUUACAUCUAUUUGUAUUAUAUGUAAAUUUUUAACCGGAAAAACCUCUUGUUUAGGAGCG